GUAUCCCUGCUUGGCCCGUGAUGCGUCAAUCAAGUGAGCCAACACUCUUCCAACGGGAUUCCGGAGUCCCGUCGCGAUGGCCAGGGCCCCCGGGUUCGAGGCCGGAACGACGGGCAGGAGACCCACCUGGUGCGACUGGGUUCAGUUGCAUCUGACGCACACGACCCGGCGGGGAUCCU
rnacentral:other from 1 species